rnacentral:rRNA from 1 species
UAAAAACCCCGACUUCGGAAGGGGUGUAUUUAUUAGAUACAAAACCAAUGCCCUUCGGGGCUCUUUGGUGAUUCAUGAUAACUAUGCGAAUCGCACGGCCUUGCGCCGGCGAUGGUUCAUUCAAAUUUCUUCCCUAUCAACUUUCGAUGUUUGGGUAUUGGCCAAACAUGGUUGCAACGGGUAACGGAGGGUUAGGGCUCGACCCCGGAGAAGGAGCCUGAGAAACGGCUACUACAUCCAAGGAAGGCAGCAGGCGCGCAAAUUACCCAAUCCCGACUCGGGGAGGUAGUGACAAUAAAUACUGAUACAGGGCCCUUUCGGGCCUUGUAAUUGGAAUGAGUACAAUUUAAAUCCCUUAACGAGGAACAAUUGGAGGGCAAGUCUGGUGCCAGCAGCCGCGGUAAUUCCAGCUCCAAUAGCGUAUAUUAAAGUUGUUGUGGUUAAAAAGCUCGUAGUUGAACCUUGGGCCUGGCUGGCCGGUCCGCCUCACCGCGUGCACUGGUCCGGCCGGGCCUUUCCCUCUGUGGAACCCCAUACCCUUCACUGGGCGUGGCGGGGAAACAGGACAUUUACUUU